rnacentral:rRNA from 1 species
GACUCUCAGCAAUGGAUAUCUCGGCUCUUGCAUCGAUGAAGAACGUAGCGAAAUGCGAUACUUGGUGUGAAUUGCAGAAUCCCGUGAACCAUCGAGUCUUUGAACGCAAGUUGCGCCCGAAGCCAUUAGGCCGAGGGCACGCCUGCCUGGGUGUUG